GACGAACGCUGGCGGCGUGCCUAAUACAUGCAAGUCGAACGAACUCUGGUAUUGAUUGGUGCUUGCAUCAUGAUUUACAUUUGAGUGAGUGGCGAACUGGUGAGUAACACGUGGGAAACCUGCCCAGAAGCGGGGGAUAACACCUGGAAACAGAUGCUAAUACCGCAUAACAACUUGGACCGCAUGGUCCGAGCUUGAAAGAUGGCUUCGGCUAUCACUUUUGGAUGGUCCCGCGGCGUAUUAGCUAGAUGGUGGGGUAACGGCUCACCAUGGCAAUGAUACGUAGCCGACCUGAGAGGGUAAUCGGCCACAUUGGGACUGAGACACGGCCCAAACUCCUACGGGAGGCAGCAGUAGGGAAUCUUCCACAAUGGACGAAAGUCUGAUGGAGCAACGCCGCGUGAGUGAAGAAGGGUUUCGGCUCGUAAAACUCUGUUGUUAAAGAAGAACAUAUCUGAGAGUAACUGUUCAGGUAUUGACGGUAUUUAACCAGAAAGCCACGGCUAACUACGUGCCAGCAACCGCGGUAAUACGUAGGUGGCAAGCGUUGUCCGGAUUUAUUGGGCGUAAAGCGAGCGCAGGCGGUUUUUAAGUCUGAUGUGAAAGCCUUCGGCUCAACCGAAGAAGUGCAUCGGAAACUGGGAAACUUGAGUGCAGAAGAGGACAGUGGAACUCCAUGUGUAGCGGUGAAAUGCGUAGAUAUAUGGAAGAACACCAGUGGCGAAGGCGGCUGUCUGGUCUGUAACUGACGCUGAGGCUCGAAAGUAUGGGUAGCAAACAGGAUUAGAUACCCUGGUAGUCCAUACCGUAAACGAUGAAUGCUAAGUGUUGGAGGGUUUCCGCCCUUCAGUGCUGCAGCUAACGCAUUAAGCAUUCCGCCUGGGGAGUACGGCCGCAAGGCUGAAACUCAAAGGAAUUGACGGGGGCCCGCACAAGCGGUGGAGCAUGUGGUUUAAUUCGAAGCUACGCGAAGAACCUUACCAGGUCUUGACAUACUAUGCAAAUCUAAGAGAUUAGACGUUCCCUUCGGGGACAUGGAUACAGGUGGUGCAUGGUUGUCGUCAGCUCGUGUCGUGAGAUGUUGGGUUAAGUCCCGCAACGAGCGCAACCCUUAUUAUCAGUUGCCAGCAUUAAGUUGGGCACUCUGGUGAGACUGCCGGUGACAAACCGGAGGAAGGUGGGGAUGACGUCAAAUCAUCAUGCCCCUUAUGACCUGGGCUACACACGUGCUACAAUGGAUGGUACAACGAGUUGCGAACUCGCGAGAGUAAGCUAAUCUCUUAAAGCCAUUCUCAGUUCGGAUUGUAGGCUGCAACUCGCCUACAUGAAGUCGGAAUCGCUAGUAAUCGCGGAUCAGCAUGCCGCGGUGAAUACGUUCCCGGGCCUUGUACACACCGCCCGUCACACCAUGAGAGUUUGUAACACCCAAAGUCGGUGGGGUAACCUUUUAGGAACCAGCCGCCUAAGGUGGGACAGAUGAUUAGGGUGAAG
rnacentral:rRNA from 1 species